UAGGAUAAGAAAAAAAUAGGUUGAUAGUUAGUCAUUUUCUAUCAUGAAAAGGGAAGACCGGUGAGAGCCCGGCGCGGUCCCGCCACUGUAAAUGGGAGCAUUUCACAAAACCACUGUUCGUAAUGAAUGGGAAGGGUGUGAAAUGUGUUGAUCAUGAGCCAGGAGACCUGCCUGUUUUUUAUUACACCA
rnacentral:ncRNA from 1 species